UUGUUUAAAUUUUCAUUUAUACUCCGACACAAAAUGGCAGGGUCAUGGGACUUUCGGGGGCCCGCCGAAAAAUCAGCAGGGUCGCCCCCGAAGCAACGAGUUGUGUUCACAGAGGGUGGGAGGUCGAGCCCGAGGGCCCUCACUCAGUAAUGAUCCCUCCGCAGGUUCACCUACGGAGA
rnacentral:misc_RNA from 1 species